GGUAACCCUGUAUCCUGGAGGGACAGGAUCUGGUCACUGUGACCAGGUCUCAGGUGACAUUAACAUCUGAACGAGCCGCAGGACCCGUCCACACAGUGUUGGCAGGACCAGGUCCUGGCAGCUCUUGGUGCCCAGUGCUGACUCCUGGGGUCCAGGCCCCCAUGAUGCCUUCCUGGCCAGACUUCCAAAGGACUGAGUGAGGCAGGACUUUGUGCCCGAGGUUGGAUCAGGGGCCUACAAACCAGAGGAAGGACACUUCAGCCAGCGGAUGGACAACAGCCCCUGAUCCCAAGAAUCUCCCUCGCUUGAGGCUACAAAUGGAUCAACCCACCAGGCAGCCUUAGACAUCAAGCCCUGCUCUGGCCACACUCGGGAAGCUGGUUGGUAUUCAUGGCCAGGCCUCAGCACUCUUAACUACAGGUUGGGCAGCCAACCAGCUGGUCUGUCUCUCCAAGGCCAUCCCCGAAUGCCUGCAUCUUUCCCGCCUUGCCUUGCCACCCUUGUCUGGGAACUUUGCAGCAAAUGGUAGUGCCUGCUGAAAAAUGAUGCUAUCCCUGUAACAGACAUGGAGACAUUGGUGCAUAAAAGGAACCCUUGGUCUUUAAAUGGGUGCUCAGACCUUGCGGGGCUACCCAGGUCUGGGACCUCUUGCAUGAGUCAUUAAAGCUUCUCCUGUCCUCACCAUUCCU